GUGGGGAAUCUUCCACAAUGGACGAAAGUCUGAUGGAGCAACGCCGCGUGAGUGAAGAAGGGUUUCGGCUCGUAAAGCUCUGUUGUCGGGGACGAAUGUGCAGUAUUUGAAUAAAGUACUGUAAUGACGGUACCUGACGAGGAAGCCACGGCUAACUACGUGCCAGCAGCCGCGGUAAUACGUAGGUGGCAAGCGUUGUCCGGAAUUAUUGGGCGUAAAGGGAGCGCAGGCGGGAAGGUAAGUCGGUCUUAAAAGUGCGGGGAUCAACCCCGUGGUGGGAUGGAAACUAUCGUUCUUGAGUGCAGGAGAGGAAAGUGGAAUUCCUAGUGUAGCGGUGAAAUGCGUAGAUAUUAGGAGGAACACCAGUGGCGAAGGCGACUUUCUGGACUGUAACUGACGCUGAGGCUCGAAAGUCAGGGGAGCGAACGGGAUUAGAUACCCCGGUAGUCC
rnacentral:rRNA from 1 species